rnacentral:rRNA from 1 species
UACCUACGGGGGGCAGCAGUGAGGAAUAUUGGUCAAUGGGCGGAAGCCUGAACCAGCCAAGUCGCGUGAGGGAUUAAGGCCCUGCGGGUCGUAAACCUCUUUUGCCAGGGAACAAAGACUGGGACGCGUCCCCGGAUGAGUGUACCUGAAGAAAAAGCAUCGGCUAACUCCGUGCCAGCAGCCGCGGUAAUACGGAGGAUGCGAGCGUUAUCCGGAUUUAUUGGGUUUAAAGGGUGCGCAGGCGGUCUGUUAAGUCAGCGGUCAAAGCCCGGGGCUCAACCCCGGCCCGCCGUUGAAACUGGCAG